AUUUCCCCUCAUUACACUUGUACAAUUGAAAAUGAAGUCUCACCUAUUUUGAUCAUUCAAACACUUCAUCCACUCUAGUCCGUUAAUGAUGCUUGUAUGCAUCUAUAUCUAACGGUAGAUUUGUUGUUGACUGAUUCAGCCUCUCUCCCGAAACAAAGUAAUCUAUGUCCCCAUCUCAAUUCCAAGUCCCUACAGGCUAAAGUCAGUCAAGUCUUUCAGACAGCCCUAUAAAUGAACCUGAUCAUUCAUGCUCUUGCUUGCACUAGUCACUUGCUCUUAAUUAACAAGCUCUGGCUAGAAGACACAGCCAUGGCUCAAUCUCUAUGCCCCUAUGCUCUUGCUGCUUUGCUUUUAGUUCUUUCACUGAAGGGUACCUCCGCCGCACACCACCACCACCAACUCAAGUCCCUCCAUUUUUCACUUUACCAACAUGAAACCAUCAACAAAACUGGAUAUAUCAUAGUGAAUGGUGUUGCAGGAGCAAACCUCAGUCAACUCGCACUGCCUUUCGGUACCUUAUUUGUUUUCCAGGAUCCCAUGACAGUUACAGCCAACCGAACUUCCAAAGUCGUUGGCAUCGCAGAAGGAAAUUCCAUAACAUCUAGUCUCGAUGGGCUAACCAGCAUUUCUACUGCUAAGAUCACUUUAAGUUUGAAAAACCACAAAGGGUCAAUCUCCAUCGUCGGAGGUACGCAUAAUGUCAAACCUGCGGAUCAUCCUGUUGUGGGAGGCACUGGUGACUUCAUGUUUGUACAAGGCUUUGUAACAUCUUCUCCGGUGGAUCUCGUUGGCCUCACUGUUGUCUACAAGAUUGAAUUUCACCUGUACUGGCCUCCAUAUGCAGAGCAAGUUCAUCCAGCCUAAAGGGCAAACUCAAAAUCCAAAAUCAACAACAUAUUCAAAUAAUUAAUGACAGUAUUUUUCUUCUCAUGUUCACCAUUAUUCAUUUUGUACUCUGUUUUAUUUUAGCAUGGAAAUUGGAAAAUAUAUCAUUACAUUAUUUAUCAAAUAUCACUCUCCCUCUUCCCCUGAUUCUUCGUUAUUU
rnacentral:misc_RNA from 1 species